CGUAUCGGCUCCUCGGAUAAUCUCGAUCAGUUUCAUUACCGGAGGAGGGUUGAAGAAGUGCAUGCCUAUCACCUGCAGUCCUGCACCAUGUAAGUCACUUCACAAAUCCUGAAAGAGCGAAUUAAAAUUCUUCGCAUGUACAGAUAGUAGAUGCCAGGUUGCUCGUCACCUGAGAGGGGCGUUUGGUAGCUGAAGCCAGGCGGGUUAUGGAGAUGGAGCUCGUGUUGGAGGCGAGGAUGGCCGAGGGCUUCGUGACCUUAUCCAGCUCCACGAAUAGCUUCUUCUUGACAGCUUCGUUCUCCACGACGGCCUCGAUCACAAGAUCCGCGUCCCUGAGAUCCUGCACGGCGGAGACGCACCUUAUCCGCUUUAUUGAGUCCUCGCACGCGGCCUGGAGUCGAAGCAAGCCCAGAACUUGUCAGGGAGAAGGCUGGAAAACCGCGCACCAGUUCGGGAAGGGUGCUUUGGGAGGUCGACAGAACGCUCUUACUUACCUGGGAGAGCUGGCCCUUGGCGGCGAGGCGCCGUAGGGAGGCGGAGAUGGAGAUGACGGCACGGGAGAGGGCAGUGGGGUCGGCGUCGAGGAGAAGUACGGCACAGCCUCCGGCGGCGGCGAGCUGGGCGAUGCCCGAGCCCAUCUGCCCCGCGCCUAUUACGCCCACCGCCGCGAUCUCACUCGCUGUCGCCAUUGUUUUGUUUUGUUUCGUUUGCAAGGAAGCGGGCGGUCGGGCUUGUCGCUCUGGUUGGUAAUGGUAGUGGGGUCUGGGUGGGAAUGGGGAAACCGGAAAAGGGCGUGUCUAGAAAACUUAUCCACCUUGGACUUGGGAGCCCUCCUCUGCCUCUACAGUCCGCAGGCUGCCGCUAGCUUCAUCGGUGGCUAUUUUUCAUGGUCUAUUGUUUAUAGGUCCUGUUUGGCACAGCUUAUUUUCAGCUUCUUCACAAAUUUAAGCUGAAGUUCUGCCAAACAGACAGCUUCUGCAGCAGCUUAUCAGUUCAGCUGCUUCUUAAAAUGAACUAAAAGCAGCCAACAAGCAAAAGCUGCUUUUUACCAGCUUAUCAGAUAAGCUACUUUUUCAACAAGCAGCAGCUGUACCAAACAGGGCCAUAAUUUGUAGAUUGUCGUGCUGUAUUUUCUCCCUCCGGUCUCGCAAUAGAGUUCGUUUUAUUAUUUACCUUUUAUCUACAUUUAAAUAAAUAGUAAUAAAUCUACAUAUAUAUAAAACACAUAUUAAUAACUAUAUAAACCCAAUAAAAAGCUAAAACAAAUUCAAUUUCGAAUUUACGUAUGAAAUUGAUGAUUGUGUUAUAUAUAUGUGCAUGUGCCCAACGGAUUAAACUGGUGAUUCAUAAACUGUGUAUUAAAUUGGUUUGUGCAUGUUAAAUUAGUUUGUGCGCGUGUGACUAUAGAUUAAAUUGAUGAACAUUUGUGUUAUGUACUUGUGUUUAGGGAUGGAAAUUUGGCUCGGGCUCGGUGAGGCUCGGCUCGAACCGGCUCUCGAGCCAAAACAAGCUCGAGCCGAGCCUGAUUUUAUAGCUCGUCAGAACUACGAGCCGAGCUAACAACAUCAAAUACUAUUAUACCAUAUUAUUAUGUUUUUAACUAUUUUAUUGAAUUUUUUGAACUUGAUACAUGAUACACUUAUAUUGUAGUCUAAAAAUAUAUUAUAUAUAUUUUUAAUCUUAUAUAUAAUAAAAAUAUAUAAUUUAUAUUUUAAACGUGAUUUAGUGUGAGGCUAGCCUGCUCGCGAGCUGUUAUCGAGCCGAGUCGAGCCGAGCCUCUCGGUCAGGCUCGCAACAUGACCGCGUCGAGCCGACGGUCCGGCUCGUUUCCAGCCCUACUUGUGUUAGAUGAACUAAUAAGUGGUGAACUGUGUUAAUUUGGUGUUGAAUUUAUAUUUUCUACAGAAUCGUGAGAUUUUAAAAAAACAUUUUUAAAUUAACUAGCAGUUAAUAUUUUUUUCUCUAGUGGCUCAUGAGAUAAACGAGCUAGCUCGAACUCACAAACGAGAAGAGCUGAGCCAGCUCGAUCCUACAGUCUCCCCGUAUUAGCUCGCUGCUUGUUGGAGCGAGGCACGUUAUAAAAAACAGAGGCGAGAGAACAUCUUAAAAAUAUAGUAUUUUAAAUCAGCCUUUCUUUAUCUUCCUGAAUAUUUUUAAUAAUGUCCUCUUACCUCCAUUCUUGUUUUGGUUUACACUAAUAGAUUAGUUUGCAUUUGAUAUGUAUAUAAAAUGUUAUAAUUUAUCACCUAUAAAAUAUUAGAAUAUUAUAAUUUAUCGCUUAAUCUACAAAUGUUAUGUAGGCUACAUGGUGUCUUUGCAUGCAUUACCAUCCCUGUAAUAUCGUCCAACAUACAUUCAAUGUGUUGUAUCUUAGACUUACCAUGUGGGUUAUUUCUCCGUUGUGAUCCUUUUGACUUCCGUAAGGGUUGGGCCCAUAUGUUGGUUCCUUAUGACUCCUAGCGCCCCCUCAUCGGUAUGACCAUUGGUGCGCCCUUCAUGCCUUCUAACUUUGCGCGAGAGGUCUGGGCCCUUACAUGCCAUGUGUCCUAAGGCGUCAAGGGCGAUGGAGGCUUCAUUUUCUAGGUGUUCUAUGGCGCGAGGGGUCCGAGGGCCCUAUCUGUCAUGUGCCCUAGGGUACGAGGGGUCCCGAAGGCUUCAUUUGCUAGAUGUCUCGAAGAAAAAGGUCUUAUUGGGGGCCUUCUUCUACCUUAUGUCCUCAAAACACUAAUUCAAUAAGUGUUUUCUACCUUGUUCUAUAUGUUGCAGGGUUAAUGCCGAAGGUAAGUUUCGCCCAAAAUUACCGAUGCACAUGAUUCUAAGGAAGAAGCUUUAGGCAAACACUGUACGCAUACUUGAUAAAGUUGAAUAAAAUCACAAGAAGCUUUCGAAGCUCAAGAGUUCAAGAUGUGAGAAGGAUAAGGACAACAUUGUCCUCGAUAAUGUAUGACAAUUUAAAUGUAUAUGUUCUAGGACAUGAUUGUAAAUUCGCUAAACCUAUACUGCACGCCUAUAAAUAGAUGAACAGUGUCAUGCAUUAGAGACAUGAUUUUCCUUACCUCGAUAAGAACCAGACAUAUUUCUCUUCAUAAAAAGUUGUACCUUUCUCUCUCUAUAUUGUAAUCUUACGAAGCAUAAGGCACUUGUGC
rnacentral:lncRNA from 1 species